AGCAGCGUGGCUCAGUGGAAAGAGCCUGGGCUUCAGAGUCAGAGGUCAUAGGUUCGACUCCCGGCUCUGCCA
rfam:Ornithorhynchus anatinus chromosome 1, whole genome shotgun sequence.